CAAUAGCGUAUAUUAAAGUUGUUGCGGUUAAAAAGUUCGUAGUUGGAUUUCUGCCAAGGACGACCGGUCCGCCCUCUGGGUGAGUAUCUGGCUUGGCCUGGGCAUCUUCUUGGAGAACGUUGCUGCGCUUCACUGCGUGGUGCGGUAUCCAGGACUUUUACUUUGAGGAAAUUAGAGUGUUUCAAGCAGGCUUCCGCCUUGAAUACAUUAGCAUGGAAUAAUAAGAUAGGACCUCGGUUCUAUUUUGUUGGUUUCUAGAGCUGGGGUAAUGAUUAAUAGGGAUAGUUGGGGGCAUUCGUAUUUAACUGCCAGAGGUGAAAUUCUUGGAUUUGUUAAAGACGGACUACUGCGAAAGCAUUUGCCAAGGAUGUUUUCAUUGA
rnacentral:rRNA from 1 species